rnacentral:rRNA from 1 species
GACGAACGCUGGCGGCGUGCCUAAUACAUGCAAGUAGAACGCUGAAGGAGGAGCUUGCUUCUCUGGAUGAGUUGCGAACGGGUGAGUAACGCGUAGGUAACCUACCUGGUAGCGGGGGAUAACUAUUGGAAACGAUAGCUAAUACCGCAUAAGAGUAGAUGUCGCAUGACAUUUGCUUAAAAGGUGCAAUUGCAUCACUACCAGAUGGAACUGCGUUGUAUUAGCUAGUUGGUGAGGUAACGGCUCACCAAGGCAACGAUACAUAGCCGACCUGAGAGGGUGAUCGGCCACACUGGGACUGAGACACGGCCCAGACUCCUACGGGAGGCAGCAGUAGGGAAUCUUCGGCAAUGGACGGAAGUCUGACCGAGCAACGCCGCGUGAGUGAAGAAGGUUGUCGGAUCGUAAAGCUCGGUUGUAAGAGAAGAACGAGUGUGAGAGUGGAAAGUUCACACUGUGACGGUAUCUUACCAGAAAGGGACGGCUAACUACGUG